UACAGAGGGUGCAAGCGUUAAUCGGAAUUACUGGGCGUAAAGCGUGCGUAGACGGUUAUGUAAGUCAGAUGUGAAAGCCCCGGGCUUAACCUGGGAAUGGCAUUUGAGACUGCAUAGCUAGGGUGCGGAAGAGGGAAGCGGAAUUUCCGGUGUAGCGGUGAAAUGCGUAGAUAUCGGAAGGAACACCAGUGGCGAAGGCGGCUCUCUGGGCCUUACCUGACGCUGAGGAGCGAAAGCGUGGGUAGCGAACAGG
rnacentral:rRNA from 1 species